rnacentral:misc_RNA from 1 species
AGUUCGCCGAGGAAGUCGUCAGUGGUGAGGUUAGUCUUUGUGGCGAUGAUUGUGCUUUUUUCAGUUUGUUUUAAUGCAUAAAAAUCGAUUAUUUGGGCCUAUUUUUAUAUUUAUUUAAUGGUUGAGGUGGGAAUUUGAAGCAGGAGAAUUCUUUGUUUUAUUUCUUAUAGUUUUAGGACAUCAACUGCAUUUAUGAUUUUGCAUGCAUGCUCUAGUUUGGGCGCGUUGAAGAAGUUAUUUGAGGUAAUGUUUUUCCUUGUAUUUGAUGGUUCUGUCAUUCUUUCCACAUUGAUGCAGAUUAAACCCCCAUCUUCGCUAGAAGGC